CAGUGCUGUGACUUAUUAAAUACAGUGUAAGAGCUAUUUGUCUUUGUAAAUGUGUCCACUAGGGGUCACUGUUGUAUUAAUGAGUGAAUAUAGGUAGGAACAUUCCUUCAGGUGACAGGUGUUGCUGGAGGAAGGUGCACACAGUUUUUGACCACAUCACGAGGCAAUGCUGUUACCAACAAUGCAAACCAACACAAUAAAUAAAAUAAAUACUCUGAGCAUCCAAAUGAACUGAGAAAUAAACACCAGAAAAUCUCAGAACUGGAGAAUCUGAUCAAAGAGCUCCAGGAGAAACAGACUAUCAGAGGAAAAACCAAAGCAGCUGCAGGAACUUCCUGAUUCGUCAGCCCCACAUCAGGAAAGGAUGCAGCUUGAUGUUUUGCCUCCACAAAUGAGUGAAGAGACCCAGCAGGACCGAUCAGGAGAAGCAAAAGAUUUUUGAAUCCGCCAAUGACAUUAACAUGGGAACUAAACAUGACACUGGUGCUGCUUAGGCGGAUGAGGUCUGGGAAGAAUGCAACAGGAACCAAAAAAGACCAUCCUGGGCAGAGAGGAAAUAACUGUUCAAUUGUAGAUACGGUAUACCAUCUAAAACAUCCAUGCUGUAAUUAGUGUAAAUAGUUUUUCAGGGUUUUUUUUUUGUAUUUUUUCUAAACUGUUGCUUUGUGCUUUCAUUAGUUUUUUUUUUUUUUUUAGAUUUUUUUCAUUAAAGGCUGUACAAUAUUUGAUGUCAAUUUUUAAAUCUUGUUUCACUGAUUAGAUUUUCUACUAUGCUACUACUCAUAGUCAUUGUGUACUUUCCCUCAAAUUUGUACUUAAAAUGUCUUGAUAAUGAUUUUGUUUGUAAUAAAUCUGACCAUUUUUCA